rnacentral:rRNA from 1 species
UGGGGAAUUUUGGACAAUGGGCGAAAGCCUGAUCCAGCAAUGCCGCGUGUGUGAAGAAGGCCUUCGGGUUGUAAAGCACUUUUGUCCGGAAAGAAAUCCUUGGCUCUAAUACAGUCGGGGGAUGACGGUACCGGAAGAAUAAGCACCGGCUAACUACGUGCCAGCAGCCGCGGUAAUACGUAGGGUGCAAGCGUUAAUCGGAAUUACUGGGCGUAAAGCGUGCGCAGGCGGUUUGCUAAGACCGAUGUGAAAUCCCCGGGCUCAACCUGGGAACUGCAUUGGUGACUGGCAGGCUAGAGUAUGGCAGAGGGGGGUAGAAUUCCACGUGUAGCAGUGAAAUGCGUAGAGAUGUGGAGGAAUACCGAUGGCGAAGGCAGCCCCCCUGGGCCAAUACUGACGCUCAUGCACGAAAGCGUGGGGAGCAAAACAGGAUUAGAUACCCCUGGUAGUCCACGCCCUAAACGAUGUCAACUAGUUGUUGGGGGAUUCAUUUCCUUAGUAACGUAGCUAACGCGUGAAGUUGACCGCCUGGGGGAGUACGGUCGCAAGAUUAAAACUCAAAGGAAUUGACGGGGUCAUAGCUGUUUCCU